GGGAUUGCCUCGGUAACGGCGAGUGAAGCGGCAACAGCUCAAAUUUGAAAUCUGGCUCCUUCGGGGUCCGAGUUGUAAUUUGUAGAGAGUGCUUCGGGUGAGACUACGGUCUAAGUCCAUUGGAACAUGGCGUCAUAGAGGGUGAGAAUCCCGUAUGUGACUGCGGCUCGAGCCCAUGUGAAGCCUCUUCGACGAGUCGAGUUGUUUGGGAAUGCAGCUCAAAAUGGGUGGUAAAUUUCAUCUAAAGCUAAAUACUGGCUGGAGACCGAUAGCGCACAAGUAGAGUGAUCGAAAGAUGAAAAGCACUUUGGAAAGAGAGUCAAACAGUACGUGAAAUUGUUGAAAGGGAAGCGCUUGCAACCAGACCUGCCCGUAGGCGAUCAGCCGCUGUUCUCAGUGGUGCACUCGCUCUGCGAUCAGGCCAGCAUCGGUUUUGGCGGCCGGAUAAAGGCCUUGGGAAUGUAGCUCCUUUCGGGGAGUCUUAUAGCCCUCGGUGCAACGCGGCCAGCCGGGACCGAGGACCGCGCUUUUGCUAGGAUGCUGGCGUAAUGGUUGUAAGCGACCCGUCUUGAAACACGGACCAAGGAGUCUACCAUCUAUGCGAGUGUUUGGGUGUCAAACCCAUGCGCGGAAUGAAAGUGAACGGAGGUGAGAACCCUUUAGGGCGCAUCAUCGACCGAUCCAGAUGUCUUCGGAUGGAUUUGAGUAUGAGCAUAAAUAGUGGGACCCGAAAGUAAAAAACCCCGAUCCCCUCUUUUAUGGAAUUGUAACUAAUAUAUUCGCAGGAUGGUGAACUAUGCCUGAAUAGGGUGAAGCCAGAGGAAACUCUGGUGGAGGCUCGCAGCGGUUCUGACGUGCAAAUCGAUCGUCAAAUUUGGGUAUAGGGGCGAAAGACUAAUC
rnacentral:rRNA from 1 species